AGCGAACGCUGGCGGCGUGCCUAGCACAUGCAAGUCGAACGUGAAAAGGGAAACCUGAGUAAAGUGGCGUACGGGUGAGUAACGCGUAGGUAAUCUACCCCAGAAUCUGGAAUAACCUGCCGAAAGGCGGGCUAAUACUGGAUAGAGCGAGGGAACUCGUAAGAGAGUUUUUCGGGAAAGGGAGCCCGCAAGGGCCUUCGUUCUGGGAUGAGCCUGCGUCUCAUUAGCUAGUUGGUAAGGUAACGGCUUACCAAGGCGAUGAUGAGUAGCUGGUCUGAGAGGAUGAUCAGCCACACUGGAACUGAAACACGGUCCAGACUCCUACGGGAGGCAGCAGUGGGGAAUCUUGCGCAAUGGACGAAAGUCUGACGCAGCCACGCCGCGUGAGUGAAGAAGGCCUUCGGGUUGUAAAGCUCUGUCGGAUGGGACGAACAUCUUCAUAGUGAAUAGCUAUGAGGACUGACGGUACCAUCAAAGGAAGCACCGGCUAACUCCGUG
rnacentral:rRNA from 1 species